AGAGAAUAGUUUAUUAAAAUUUUAAUUUUGGAGAUUAAAGAUAAGGUUAUCCUUUUCUCUGAA
rnacentral:tRNA from 1 species